rnacentral:rRNA from 1 species
GAUGAACGCUGGCGGCGUGCCUAAUACAUGCAAGUCGAGCGAACAGACGAGGAGCUUGCUCCUCUGACGUUAGCGGCGGACGGGUGAGUAACACGUGGAUAACCUACCUAUAAGACUGGGAUAACUUCGGGAAACCGGAGCUAAUACCGGAUAAUAUAUUGAACCGCAUGGUUCAAUAGUGAAAGACGGUUUUGCUGUCACUUAUAGAUGGAUCCGCGCCGCAUUAGCUAGUUGGUAAGGUAACGGCUUACCAAGGCAACGAUGCGUAGCCGACCUGAGAGGGUCAUCGGCCACACCGGAACUGAGACACGGUCCAGACGCCUACGGGAGGCAGCAGUAGGGAAUCUUCCGCAAUGGGCGAAAGACUGACGGAGCAACGCAGCGUGAGUGAUGAAGGUCUUCGGAUCGUAAAACUCUGUUAUUAGGGAAGAAAAAAUGUGUAAGUAAAUAUGCAAGUAUUGACGGUACCAAAGCAGAAAGCAACGGCUAACUACGUG